AAAACUUUGCUAGUAGAGUGUCGAUUUUCUGUGCUUUUGGAAUAUUUAAAUUAAUAACUAACUUUCUUUGUGUGAAUUGAACUACAACACAAUACGAAGCUAAAUUUACUAUAAUUUUGGCAGCUAAUUAUAGGAACACCGAAUGAAGAGAUCAGUUUGGUUGUGGUGAGGACAUGGAAUGUUGGAGUUUGCAGAUUGCCAUACUGAUUCACUCCUGUCAUGGACUAAAGCUUUCAAGUAUGGCACUUGACAGGGAUGAACUGGAUGGACUCUUCUAGAUAGCUGGGGCUGGAGAUACAUGACAACAUUUCUCAGUGCCAUGCAUCGAUGCUGAUAUGAGCUGGAGGACAUCCUCAUGUGACAUGAGUCAUCGACCUGAGCCUUCAAGUGUGGCUAUUGACAGCUGAUUGGUGGAGUGUAUGGAUGCUGAUGUGAGCUGGAUGGGUGGGCGGGCUUUGGUCUUCCUGAUGUCAUGUCCCGAAGAUUUUGAGUAGGACUUGACAGCUGGUGAUGGAGAUUAAGAACUUCAAGGCGAUAUGAGUGAACAGCAUAGGCAGAGAUUUGGACAGG